rnacentral:rRNA from 1 species
UAACCUUGCGAAAGUAAGACUAAUACCCAAUGACGUCUCUAGAAGACAUCUGAAAGAGAUUAAAGAUUUAUCGGUGAUGGAUGGGGAUGCGUCUGAUUAGCUUGUUGGCGGGGUAACGGCCCACCAAGGCAACGAUCAGUAGGGGUUCUGAGAGGAAGGUCCCCCACAUUGGAACUGAGACACGGUCCAAACUCCUACGGGAGGCAGCAGUGAGGAAUAUUGGUCAAUGGACGAGAGUCUGAACCAGCCAAGUAGCGUGCAGGAUGACGGCCCUAUGGGUUGUAAACUGCUUUUAUAAGGGAAUAAAGUGAGUCUCGUGAGACUUUUUG